GGAGGUAUAGCUCAGAGGGAGAGCACUUGCUUGACGUGCAAGGGGUCAGGGGUUCAAAUCCCUUUACCUCCACCA
rnacentral:tRNA from 1 species